UACGUAGGGGCAAGCGUUUGUCCGGAAUCAUUGGGCGUAAAGAGCGUGUAGGCGGCCCGGUAAGUCCGCUGUGAAAGUCCAGGGCUCAGCCCUGGGAUGCCGGUGGAUACUGUCGGGCUCGAGUCCGGAAGAGGAGUGUGGAAUUCCUGGUGUAGCGGUGAAAUGCGCAGAUAUCAGGAGGAACACCAAUGGCGAAGGCAGCACUCUGGGACGUGACUGAC
rnacentral:rRNA from 1 species